rnacentral:rRNA from 1 species
CAAUAGCGUAUAUUUAAGUUGUUGCAGUUAAAAAGCUCGUAGUCGGAUUUUGGCUGAGAACGAUCGGUCCGCCGUUAGGUGUGCACUGAUUGGUCUCAGCUUCCUGGUGAGGAGGUGUGCUUCACGGCCACUUAGUCACCGUGGUUACUUUGAAAAAAUUAGAGUGUUCAAAGCGGGCUUACGCUUGAAUAUAUUAGCAUGGAAUAACACCAUAGGACUCCUGUCCUAUUUCGUUGGUCACGGGACGGGAGUAAUGAUUAAGAGGAACAGUUGGGGGCAUUCGUAUUUCAUUGUCAGAGGUGAAAUUCUUGGAUUUAUGAAAGACGAACUUCUGCGAAAGCAUUUGCCAAGGAUGUUUUCAUCGA